UUUAACGACCAAUAUUAUUUUCAUUGUUUUAGAUGAUGUUCAUCCCAUCGUUAAUAGUGUAGAUCUGCCGCUUUUUUUUUUCGUUUACCGCAAAUUUUUUGCAACCUUCGCAUGCAACCUCUUGACUCUACCUAUUCACAGAGUCAUCCCUCUCUCUUUCUCUGUUCUUUCUAUCUCUCUCUCUCUCUCUGGCAUCCCCUCAAACCCUUUGCCUUCUUUUCACCUACCCUAUUUUCCCUCUUUUCCAUUCACAGAAUCACCCCCAUCUCUCUCUCUGUUCUUUCUCUCUCUCUUUCUCGCACGCCCUCUCCACAAACCCUUGCUUCUCUUCACCUUCCCCCUUCUCCUUCUUUCCCAAAAGUAAUCCUGCACCCCACCAGAUCCACACCUUGUCACUGGUCCGUCAGCACGCGCUCGCGAGCGACGGCGCAU
rnacentral:lncRNA from 1 species